UGUUCUGUGGCUUAGCUGGUUAAAGCUCCGGUCUAGCGUUGGUUCGAAUCCCACCAGAACGC
rnacentral:tRNA from 1 species